rnacentral:rRNA from 1 species
CUCCUACGGGAGGCAGCAGUGGGGAAUCUUAGACAAUGGGCGCAAGCCUGAUCUAGCCAUGCCGCGUGGACGAUGAAGGCCUUAGGGUUGUAAAGUCCUUUCAGAUGGGAAGAUAAUGACGGUACCAUCAGAAGAAGCCCCGGCUAACUCCGUGCCAGCAGCCGCGGUAAUACGGAGGGGGCUAGCGUUGUUCGGAAUUACUGGGCGUAAAGCGCACGUAGGCGGAUUGGUAAGUUAGAGGUGAAAUCCCAGGGCUCAACCCUGGAACUGCCUUUAAUACUGCUAGUCUUGAGUUCGAGAGAGGUGAGUGGAAUUCCGAGUGUAGAGGUGAAAUUCGUAGAUAUUCGGAGGAACACCAGUGGCGAAGGCGGCUCACUGGCUCGAUACUGACGCUGAGGUGCGAAAGCAUGGGGAGCAAACAGGAUUAGAUACCCUGGUAGUCCAUGCCGUAAACGAUGAAUGCCAGACGUCAGCAAGCAUGCUUGUUGGUGUCACACCUAACGGAUUAAGCAUUCCGCCUGGGGAGUACGGUCGCAAGAUUAAAACUCAAAGGAAUUGACGG